CCUUUGUACACACCGCCCGUCGCUACUACCGAUUGAAUGGCUUAGUGAGGCCUCCGGAUUGGUUUAAAGAAGGGGGCAACUCCAUCUUGGAACCGAAAAGCUCUCCAAACUCGGUCAUUUAGAGG
rnacentral:rRNA from 1 species